rnacentral:rRNA from 1 species
GACGAACGCUGGCGGCGUGCUUAACACAUGCAAGUCGAACGGUGAAGCGCCUUCCUUUUUGGUGGGUGUGGAUGAGUGGCGAACGGGUGAGUAACACGUUAGUAACCUGCCCCCUUCUUCUGGAUAACCGCAUGAAAGUGUGGCUAAUACGGGAUAUUCUGGGUCUGUCGCAUGAUGGGUCUGGGAAAGAUCUUGUUUCGGUGGGGGAUGGGCCCGCGGCCUAUCAGCUUGUUGGUGGGGUGAUGGCCUACCAAGGCGGUGACGGGUAGCCGGCCUGAGAGGGUGGACGGUCACACUGGGACGGAGACACGGCGCAGACUACUACGGGAGGCAGCAGUGGGGAAUAUGGCACAAUGGGCGGAAGGCUGAUGCAGCGACGCCGCGUGAGGGAUGGAGGCCUUCGGGUUGUGAACCUCUUUCGCCAGUGAAGCAGGCCUGCCUCGUUUGUGGGUGGGUUGACGGUAGCUGGAUAAGAAGCGCCGGCUAACUACGUG